rnacentral:rRNA from 1 species
UACGUAGGUGACAAGCGUUGUCCGGAUUUACUGGGCGUAAAGAGCGCGCAGGCGGCUGGUCAAGUCCGAUGUGAAAGCUCCCGGCUUAACUGGGAAAUUGCAUCGGAAACUGAUCGGCUGGAAGGUGGGAGAGGGUAGCGGAAUUCCCGGUGUAGUGGUGAAAUGCGUAGAUAUCGGGAGGAACACCAGUGGCGAAAGCGGCUACCUGGCCCAUUCUUGACGCUGAGG